GAUGAACGCUGGCGGCGUGCUUAACACAUGCAAGUCGAACGAAGCACCUUGAUUCGAUUCUUCGGAUGAAGAUCUUGGUGCCUGAGUGGCGGACGGGUGAGUAACGCGUGGGUAACCUGCCUCAUACAGGGGGAUAACAGUUAGAAAUGACUGCUAAUACCGCAUAAGACCACAGCACCGCAUGGUGCAGGGGUAAAAACUCCGGUGGUAUGAGAUGGACCCGCGUCUGAUUAGGUAGUUGGUGGGGUAACGGCCUACCAAGCCGACGAUCAGUAGCCGACCUGAGAGGGUGACCGGCCACAUUGGGACUGAGACACGGCCCAAACUCCUACGGGAGGCAGCAGUGGGGAAUAUUGCACAAUGGGGGAAACCCUGAUGCAGCGACGCCGCGUGAGCGAUGAAGUAUUUCGGUAUGUAAAGCUCUAUCAGCAGGGAAGAAAAUGACGGUACCCGACUAAGAAGCACCGGCUAAAUACGUG
rnacentral:rRNA from 1 species